rnacentral:lncRNA from 1 species
CUCCUCCAGGGUACCUACCCAGUUGUGGCGACCCCGCACGUACUCGUGCAGGCGUUUCUGGAGGUGCUCCGUGCUGAUCCGCAGUUCCAGGUCCGUUUCGCUGUGACGGAUCUGAACGAGAGGUCGAUGGCAGAGGAUGUCGUCAAAGUUGCGGAAUCCUAGAGACGCCUGCUGGUGUGGGCGCGAGCUGACCAGCGCCGUCAGGUUGGAGACAUAGGCGAAGAGGAUGAAAAUACUAAAAAACCACCAAGCAACCGCCAGCGCGCGCCCCGACAACGACUUGGGUGCUUCCCGGUACCCUGGGUAUCAUCAACACGUAGCACGAUCAGACAUCGAGAGGUCGGAAGUUUUGCUAACCUUGGAGACUGAAGGUACUCAAGACGAACAAGAGGCUGCCUCUUAGACCAAAUGAGUAGCGGGCUCUGCGCACGUCCUUGUCCUGGGCCACUCGGGACCAUUCGUAAGGGUCUCUCGAGACAACAUAUGAAGAAGGAGAUGACCAGGGCAUGUACGGAUUUUGUCGUGAAUAGAGAUGUUGUCAUUCCAGAGAUGUUGCAUUUGGAUGAGGGCUGCUGAAAAAAUUGAACUCAAAUAUUUGAAACUUCGAACUGUCUCGAACUUCUCAACUCUGAUGUCCGUCCUGAUGCCAUGAGCCUUGUUAGUCAACAGCUUAGUCUUUUCUGCUUUGAUCUCCCUGCCUUGCGCUGCUGAUACUUUUUCAAGGCGUUUAACAAGAUCAUCAAUAUCUUAUUUUUUACCAGCUAUUCCAACCUUCAUACUCUUCUUGUGCCACGAUUCUUGUAAGGAAGAUGUGAGACAAUGCAGGGGAGAGUACUAAGCCUUAUUGAACUCCAUCUAUUGUUCUUAGCCAUUCACCUACGCCGCCGUUGAAGAAUACUGCACCGGUUGUCUCGUCAUACAGAUGUUCUAUGAAUGAUCGAAUUGUAGUUUCUCUUAGUGCUACACACUUUAGGCUAUCGAUUGCCUUCUUCACGUCUGUAGAUUCCGUUUUGCUGUGAGUACUUUUCAGCUAUUGUACUGAAAUUGAAUAUCUUCUUGGGAAUGCUGCUUGUCAUUCUGCGAUGAUUUUUGUUCUUAUGGGAGGCUGGUCUUUUUAAGAUAAUAUUGAAUGGGUCCAUAAACUACAAAAGUUCGAAGUUCUGCCUUACAAAAGUUUUUAACAUGAUUUGACACAUCGUUGAUAUAAAAAAAAGGAAGGAAGAAAAGAUGACUGGGUUGAAAAAAAGUAAGAAAAGAAGGAAACAUAAAUUAAAAAAAACCCACCUCUUUGUUUACCUAUUAAGUACAAUUUGAAAGCAUUCUUUUAUAUUACAUAUCUACAGAAACAUUACACUAACCACACCCACAGUCUUCAAGUUCAUUUUG